rnacentral:sRNA from 1 species
CGGUGCCUCUCCCUUCAAAAGCAAGGGACCUUUAUGUGUGAUUCCACAUCUGCAUUCCGAUAGGAAAGAGAAACAGCAGAAACACAAUACCCAUCUGAGAGCUACGCUUAGAGAGGACUCUGGGCUUUUAUUUAUCUUUUUACUUCAGUCUUGUGACCAGUAAUUUUAAGGGGAAGCCAAAAAUAAUGUUUUUAAAAAGCCUCACGCCACCCCUGGCGGCAUCUCCUCAGUGUACUUUGCUGUUCAGAUCCGCCUGCCUUCUGUCCCAGCCUAAUACCGCCCGGCCUCAGCCCCCAUUGUCCCUGGCGCUGGCGAGGUGUCCGGUUGCGGAGCCGGCUGCGUCUCUGGAAAUGCGUCCUGCAUCCCCGCAUGGAUAACAGCUGCAGCUAUGUCAGAAUUGCACAAAGAGAGAAGAGUGUCAUUGUGUGCCUUUUGACACAUACGUUAACACCAAAAAGGAAAAAAAACGUCUAUCUGUGCUGCCACCGACCAGGCUCAUGGAGGCCACAUUUUCUCCAAUUAACCAGAUCUUGCCCUGGUGCAGACAAGACUUAGCCAUCAGCAUCAGCAAAGCCAUCAACACCCAGGAGGCCCCCGUGAAGGAGAAGCACGCCCGGCGCAUCAUUCUGGGCACACACCACGAGAAGGGGGCUUUCACCUUCUGGUCCUACGCCAUUGGACUGCCGCUGCCCAGCAGCUCCAUUCUCAGCUGGAAGUUCUGCCAUGUCCUCCACAAGGUCCUUCGAGACGGGCACCCCAAUGUGCUGCAUGACUGCCAGCGGUACCGCAGCAACAUCCGGGAGAUCGGAGACCUGUGGGGACAUUUGCAUGACCGCUACGGACAGCUGGUGAAUGUCUACACCAAGCUGCUGCUGACCAAGAUCUCCUUCCACCUCAAGCAUCCCCAGUUUCCUGCAGGCCUGGAGGUGACAGACGAGGUACUGGAGAAGGCAGCUGGGACUGAUGUCAACAACAUCUUCCAGCUCACUGUGGAGAUGUUUGAUUACAUGGAUUGUGAGCUGAAGCUUUCUGAAUCAGUUUUCCGACAGCUCAACACGGCCAUCGCCGUAUCCCAGAUGUCCUCAGGCCAGUGCCGCCUGGCCCCGCUCAUCCAGGUCAUCCAGGACUGCAGCCACCUCUACCACUACACGGUCAAGCUCCUGUUCAAGCUACACUCUUGUCUCCCUGCGGACACCCUGCAAGGCCACAGGGACCGGUUCCACGAGCAGUUUCACAGCCUCAGGAACUUCUUCCGCAGAGCCUCUGACAUGCUGUAUUUCAAGCGGCUCAUCCAGAUCCCCCGGCUGCCCGAGGGACCCCCUAACUUCCUGCGGGCCUCAGCCCUGGCUGAGCACAUCAAGCCGGUGGUGGUGAUCCCCGAGGAGGCCCCGGAGGACGAGGAACCGGAGAAUCUCAUUGAGAUCAGCACGGGGCCCCCCGCGGGGGAGCCAGUGGUGGUGGCUGACCUGUUCGAUCAGACGUUUGGACCCCCCAAUGGCUCUGUGAAGGAUGACAGGGACCUCCAGAUUGAGAGCUUGAAGAGAGAGGUGGAAAUGCUCCGCUCUGAGCUGGAGAAGAUCAAGCUGGAGGCCCAGCGGUACAUCUCGCAGCUGAAGAGUCAGGUGAAUGCACUGGAGGGUGAGCUGGAGGAGCAGCGGAAGCAGAAGCAGAAGGCCCUGGUGGAUAAUGAGCAGCUCCGCCACGAGCUGGCCCAGCUGAGGGCUGCCCAGCUGGAGGGCGAGCGGAGCCAGGGCCUGCGUGAGGAGGCUGAGAGGAAGGCCAGUGCCACGGAGGCGCGCUACAACAAGCUGAAGGAAAAGCACAGUGAGCUCGUCCAUGUGCACGCAGAGCUGCUUAGAAAGAACGCGGACACAGCCAAGCAGCUGACGGUGACGCAGCAAAGCCAGGAGGAGGUGGCGCGGGUGAAGGAGCAGCUGGCCUUCCAGGUGGAGCAGGUGAAGCGGGAGUCAGAGUUGAAGGUAUGUCCCUUGUGGCACAGGGCCCUGCCCCGGCAUCCCCAGCCCACUGCCCCAGUGACACGCUGUCCUGUCUCAGCUGGAGGAGCAGAGUGACCAGCUGGAGAAGCUCAAGAGGGAGCUGGAGGCCAAGGCCGGAGAGCUGGCCCGCGCGCAGGAGGCCCUGAGCCACACAGAGCAGAGCAAGUCGGAGCUGAGCUCACGGCUGGACAUGCUGAGUGCGGAGAAGGAUGCGCUGAGUGGAGCUGUGCGGCAGCGGGAGGCAGACCUGCUGGCAGCGCAGAGCCUGGUGCGCGAGACAGAGGCGGCGCUGAGCCGGGAGCAGCAGCGCAGCUCCCAGGAGCAGAGCGAGUUGCAGGGCCGGCUGGCAGAGAGGGUAUGGCCUCCCCAGAUGCAGCAGCACUGCUGAGUUCACUGCCGCCUGGCAGCCAUCGAUCUCUCUCCGUGAUCUGCCUGUUCUAGAGAUUUCACGUAAAGGGCAUCAUACACGAUGCAUCCUUUUGUGUCCGGCUUCUUCACUGAGCAUCACGUUGUCAAGGGUCACCACAUCAUAGCCUGUGUCAGCACCUCAUCCUUUUAUGGCUGAGUCGUACUCCGCCGUGUGGACAGACCACAUUGUGUUUAUCUGUUCAUCACUUGGUGGACAUUGGGGUUGUUGCCACUUUCUGGCUGUUGUAAAUAGUGCUGCUGUGGGCCUUUGAGCACAAGUUUGUGUGUAAACAUCUGCCAUCACUUAUCUUGGAUAGAUAGCUAAUGUGUGUGGAACCCAGUAGAACUGCUGGGUCUCACCUCUGUUACCCUGUUGAGAAACUACCAGACUGUUUUCCAAAGUGGCUGCACCAUUUUACACUCCCACCAGCAACGCAUGAAUGUUCCAGUUUCUCCACAUCCUUGCCAACGCUUAUUGUCUUCUUUUUAUUUUAGCCAUCCUAGUGGGUGUGGAGUGAUUUCUCAUGGUCUUGAUUUGUGUUUCCCUGAUGGCAAAGGGUGCUACAUAUCUUUUCAUGAGCUACCUGGCCAUUUGUGUAUCUUUGGAGAAAUGUCUUUUAGGACCUUGAGCUCACGUUUUAAUUGGGUUAUCUUUUUAUUAUUGAGCUGUGCACUGUGGGAAGCCUCUUUCUAGAAAUCUCCACCCCCCGACCAGUGAGGGUCUCAGCUGGGCUCCAACUGG